rnacentral:tRNA from 1 species
AGCGGAGUAGAGCAGUUGGCAGCUCGCGUGGCUCAUAACCACGAGGUCGUUGGUUCGAGUCCAGCCUCCGCUACCA